GUGCCUCUGUAUGAUUUUUAAGUAUUUCUCAUUCUCGGGGCACCUUUUGCUGUGGGGACAGGCACCUUUUCUGGUCCUGUGUGAGUGCUUGACCCUCUUCUCUCCAGCUCUCUCAGACAGUUCUUUCUCCUGCCUCAGAGUUUCCUCGUGUGCGUGUGCCCUACCUGCAUUCUGCUGGAUUCUUGAGGGGUUCCCUCCACAGCUCUGAGAAAUUCUCCCUCCAUGCAGCUCUCUCCUCUCUGGUGCUUUAUUCUGCAGACUUGAGAAGUCAGCAAACGCCGUGGGAGGCCAGCACCGCGAUGUAACUGACCCAUUUUACAGACAAACCGAGCCUGGGAGAGAGAAUCACGCACGAUGUACCUUCGCUUUCAUGGCCUCUCCGACUUCCAAAGCACUUGAGCAAGAUCCCCGAAAAGAGACGAAGGUCGUGUCUUGCUUUUAAUUGCAGGGGUAUCGUGGAGAGGGACUUGGCGAGAGACCUGGAUUGUUUAUUGCCUCGUUAGCUCUAAACCCUGAAGUAUAGGAUAAACUCAGAACCUUUAGCAUCAGGACUGUAUAAUUAUGGAAAUGCGCGAGACCCACAGGUCCGGUUGGUCUCCCGUUCAGCAGAUGAGCCCACGGGGGCUGUGGAUAGACGCUUGUGACUGGUUCAGCUUGGUGCCGGACGUGGAGCUCGGCGCACGGAAAGCCGGGGGCCGUGUGUUGGCCACCCAGGUGCAUUCCAGCGAUCACGAUUAGCGAGAGUGGGGAGGGGGAGGCCCACCAGAUGGGAACUUUUCUAUGUGAACGUUUGUUGCAGGAACACGUUAUAUAGGAGCUAAUUUAAAACUGGUCCGGCGGCACACGGCUGUCGAAAGGAAACCCCUGCACCGUCAGUGUGCUCACCUCCCUUUCCAAUGGAGUUGGCUGAGGACUACCCUGAGUGGCACAAGGGAGCCUGGGCACCCUCCGGCUCACCUGCCAUGGGCCCCCCGGCGAGGGGAGAAGGACCCUGGACAGUGGGGGCAGGCAGGUGGCUCCACCGGGGUGCCAGGCUGGAUCGAUGCUGGCUCAGCCAGCUGGACAACACAGUGGGGCUUUUGAGCUUUCACGAGCACAGAACCAGGACGAUCAUUCUAGGGCUCCCCCCACGGACUGGCCAUUGUUACUCACACCACAUGCCGUUAAAGGAGGCCCUGCCUUUAAAAUAGGACUGCUUUAAAAAUAGCAAUCAUACCUCGUGCCUGGAAAGUAUCUCUGCUCUACCAGACACCGUCACAUCGCCUUCUUAUUUGAUCCCCACAAUGACCCAACAGAGGUGACAGGGUGCAGAAGCUGUCCAGGAGAGAGACUCACUCAUUUCUGGGCCAGGUAUCUGGCAGGAGUUCAGCUAAUGCUUGAAUAAAGGAAGAAAGGAUGGAAGGAAGGGAGGGAGGAGUCGAGGGUGCGGGUGGUGUCUUGAUUUUAUGGGGGAGGAAACAGCUCAGGGAGAAAGGGACUUACCCAAUAUGACACCACUGAUUGGUGGGGUGGGGGGUGCUGUGGACCCCUGGGCUAGAGCUCUUCCUUCCCGGGACCCCUCCAGUGUCUCUCAGCUCUUUGCUGACAGGUGCAGUUGGGGUGAUCUUUUCAAAGUGAAUCAGCCCACGGGGUUCUAGGUCUUGGACUGAUGGCUGUAAAGGGGGUCAGGCUAUGCCUCUGUAAAGUGCCCAGGGGCCCAGCCGCCCCAGGAAGUGUCUGAGAGAGAGCAGCAGGGUGGCUCUGUGAUGUGACCAGAGGAUCUCGGGUUACGUCCACUCUAUAACACAAGCUUGGUGCGUCUUGCCAACAGCUGCCCCUCUCCAGGCCACAGUUCUCUCAGGGAUAUAAUCAGGGUCUUCCUGACCACCGGACUUUUUCCGUCUCCAUCUUCUGCCUCUAAAGUCCGUCCUGGGUGCCUUCCAGAAGUUUUCCACCUUGCUGAUGCCUGAGACUCACUCUGCCCAGCCUCGGCCUCAGGGGAACGUGGUGGGAUGGGGGAGGUGCUGGGGAGAGAAGGCUGCAGGAGCCCUGGGGUGCAUAGUGCCACCACCCCAGAAGUGCCCUGCUGUCCUCUCCCCCCCUGUGGCCUUGUUGGCACAGAAGAAGAGAUUCUGCAGCCAACAAUCAAAUCAAUGAUCCCUUGAUAAGAGUGUUUAGUGUUUUGCUUUGUCCUUUUGAGUAGAAAAAUGUGAUCCCUUAUGACCUUAUUCUUCAGUUUUAUUUUAAAUACUACCCUUUCAGAAAUAAUUCCACAGUACAGAAUUUUCUCCUGGGACUCAAGAUAUGUGAGGAAAGAGGGGAAGGAGGGACGAAGGAAAGGAAAUAUCUAAAGCAAAUGGAGAAGAUACGUGCCGAUAGUAACUGAGUCAGCCCUGAGUGUCUAAUCGAUGUAAAUGAAAUGUAUUCAUUCAAUAAACCUCUC